UUGAACCCUAAAUCACAAGAUACAAUCAAAUUCAACAAGGAAAUCAAGUCUAAAUAAAAAACCAAGCUGAAAUUAGUGAUCAUUCAAGUGAGGGGAUCACAAGGCAAAGCGGGUGAAUCUUCAAGCGAUCAAGUAGGAGCGGACGCGCGCUUGAAGGAUAAGCUUUGAAGGUGAUCAUAGUGACCUCCCGGAUGAACAUCAAGUAAUUUCCAAGAACCGAACACAAGACUUUUGAAGCUUCCGCAAGAAUAUCAUUUUGUUUAGUUAAACAUGAAAACACUUGGUGCUAUAUUUCUAUUGUUUUAAACUAAUAUGGAUGUUAACCAUAUAAUUUUUUUUUA